rnacentral:rRNA from 1 species
GAUGAACGCUGGCGGCGUGCCUAAUACAUGCAAGUCGAGCGAACGGACGAGAAGCUUGCUUCUCUGAUGUUAGCGGCGGACGGGUGAGUAACACGUGGAUAACCUACCUAUAAGACUGGGAUAACUUCGGGAAACCGUAGCUAAUACCGGAUAAUAUUUUGAACCGCAUGGUUCAAAAGUGAAAGACGGUCUUGCUGUCACUUAUAGAUGGAUCCGCGCUGCAUUAGCUAGUUGGUAAGUUAACGGCUUACCAAGGCAACGAUGCAUAGCCGACCUGAGAGGGUGACAGGCCACACUGAAACUGAGACACGGUCCAGACUCCUACGGAAGGCAGCAGUAGGGAAUCUUCCGCAAUGGGCGAAAGCCUGACGGAGCAACGCCGCGUGAGUGAUGAAAGUCUUCGGAUCGUAAAACUCUGUUAUUAGGGAAGAACAUAUGUGUAAGUAACUGUGCACAUCUUGACGGUACCUAAUCAGAAAGCCACGGCUAACUACGUG